CCUGACCACCCAAGUCAAAAUGUGUUCUGUGGAACUUCCACCAGAAAGGAUUAUCCCUCCCGGAUUAGGGAGGGUCGGGCCGAGUGGUGUUAAGAUUUUAUUUGAGUAGUCAAGACCUGCAUCUCUGAGAACACAGUCUGGCUCGGAAACACGCAACUGUCCAGGAAUCUGCUGCUCAGAGAGACAAACACCAUGUCCGAACAGCCACAGGAGGAUUGUCAGUACUACACCAUUCUCAUGGCAGAAAAAGUGAGAUCAUUGGAAAAUGCCUCCUGCAGAAACAUGUUCCCAAGCCAGGAAGAGAUCCAGGAACUGGCUUUACUACUCCAGAUUAAGGACAUGAUAGUUCAGGCAUGGUUUGAACAGUAUCAAGGCAAAGUGCUGACAAAGCACAGAAACUGCCAGUGUUAUCUGUCUGCGGCAUCCUCCAACCAGGCCGUGCCGGCAACGUCUGCAUCCUCCAACCGGGCUAUGC